UAGGGAAUCUUCCACAAUGGGCGCAAGCCUGAUGGAGCAACACCGCGUGAGUGAAGAAGGGUUUCGGAUCGUAAAGCUCUGUUGUAAGAGAAGAACGUGUGUGAGAGUGGAAAGUUCACACAGUGACGGUAACUUACCAGAAAGGGACGGCUAACUACGUGCCAG
rnacentral:rRNA from 1 species